rnacentral:lncRNA from 1 species
UGAUGGUACGACUGCUUGCAGUGAGGCUGCUGGAGUUUGGCUAACAUAUAAACAUGAUCUCAAAGAGCCUUUGUAGUGAAUGUUGACAAUAAUUCAUCCACUGUAGGAGUAGGAUGCACAUCAAGAUGGAAUCUAUCAAUCUUGAUAUAAAGAAGUAGUCUUAUGAGAUUUGUGAGGCUAAGUCUGAGAUUCUAUGACUAUAGCAAUGUGAUU